CAGUUUUGACCAGGAAGAACAAAAUGUGCAAUUCUUUCCAUUCAUGAUAACAUUUACGAGUAUUUGAAGAGUUACAACUUCACUGAAUAUCCUGCUGCCUCAAAGUUCAGCUUGUAUAAGAUGGUCAUAACCCAAUGCUGAUGCAAAACUAGAAAAGAUAGAUGUCCUGAGGCGGUCCCUGUGAACAGGAUCAGGUGCCAGUCAAGGCUGGCAGCACAUCAAAUUGAACUUGAGGAUAAAGGCAGAUUUAUGCCCGGCACUUCUCCCGGGAGCAAUGAGCCCAGCCCGGCAGAUCCAGUGGCAUAUUUGUCUGUCGCUCCCUCCCUGUCUUCCUCUUCCUUUGACUUCCUCUGUAAAGAGACCCAGGUGGGAGCAUUGUGGAGCGUAACCUUGGAUUCCCCUCGGAACAUCACCUUUGGUCAGCAGUUUGACCUUACGGUCCCGUCGAAGGCAUCAGAAUAGAAAUUAGGAGCUUGCCCUGAC